GGGUUGUGAGGUUAAGCGACUAAGCGUACACGGUGGAUGCCCUGGCAGUCAGAGGCGAUGAAGGGCGUGCUAAUCUGCGAUAAGCGCCGGUAAGGUGAUAUGAACCGUUAUAACCGGCGAUACCCGAAUGGGGAAACCCAGUGUGAUUCGUCACACUAUCAUUACGUGAAUACAUAGCGUAAUGAAGCGAACCGGGGGAACUGAAACAUCUAAGUACCCCGAGGAAAAGAAAUCAACCGAGAUUCCCCCAGUAGCGGCGAGCGAACGGGGAGGAGCCCAGAGCCUGAAUCAGCAUGUGUGUUAGUGGAAGCGUCUGGAAAGGCGCGCGAUACAGGGUGACAGCCCCGUACACAAAAGCGCAUGUGCUGUGAGCUCGAUGAGUAGGGCGGGACACGUGGUAUCCUGUCUGAAUAUGGGGGGACCAUCCUCCAAGGCUAAAUACUCCUGACUGACCGAUAGUGAACCAGUACCGUGAGGGAAAGGCGAAAAGAACCCCGGCGAGGGGAGUGAAAAAGAACCUGAAACCGUGUACGUACAAGCAGUGGGAGCCCCACCACUAAGCCAGUGGUGAACUCCACAUACGCAUCCUUUGCUGAGGAUACGGUUAACGGAGCGAAAGCGACGUUCAACCGCAAAAGAAGCAGAGGGGGCUUAGUGGUGGGGUGACUGCGUACCUUUUGUAUAAUGGGUCAGCGACUUAUAUUCUGUAGCAAGGUUAACCGAAUAGGGGAGCCGCAGGGAAACCGAGUCUUAAUUGGGCGUUAAGUUGCAGGGUAUAGACCCGAAACCCGGUGAUCUAGCCAUGGGCAGGUUGAAGGUUGGGUAACACUAACUGGAGGACCGAACCGACUAAUGUUGAAAAAUUAGCGGAUGACCUGUGGCUGGGGGUGAAAGGCCAAUCAAACCGGGAGAUAGCUGGUUCUCCCCGAAAGCUAUUUAGGUAGCGCCUCGUGAAUUCAUCUCCGGGGGUAGAGCACUGUUUCGGCUAGGGGGCCAUCCCGGCUUACCAACCCGAUGCAAACUGCGAAUACCGGAGAAUGUUAUCACGGGAGACACACGGCGGGUGCUAACGUCCGUCGUGAAGAGGGAAACAACCCAGACCGCCAGCUAAGGUCCCAAAGUCAUGGUUAAGUGGGAAACGAUGUGGGAAGGCCCAGACAGCCAGGAUGUUGGCUUAGAAGCAGCCAUCAUUUAAAGAAAGCGUAAUAGCUCACUGGUCGAGUCGGCCUGCGCGGAAGAUGUAACGGGGCUAAACCAUGCACCGAAGCUGCGGCAGCGACGCUGAUGCGUUGUUGGGUAGGGGAGCGUUCUGUAAGCCUGUGAAGGUGUGUCGUGAGGCAUGCUGGAGGUAUCAGAAGUGCGAAUGCUGACAUAAGUAACGAUAAAGCGGGUGAAAAGCCCGCUCGCCGGAAGACCAAGGGUUCCUGUCCAACGUUAAUCGGGGCAGGGUGAGUCGACCCCUAAGGCGAGGCCGAAAGGCGUAGUCGAUGGGAAACGGGUUAAUAUUCCCGUACUUGGUGUUACUGCGAAGGGGGGACGGAGAAGGCUAUGUUGGCCGGGCGACGGUUGUCCCGGUUUAAGCGUGUAGGUGUGUGUUCCAGGUAAAUCCGGUUCACUUUAACACUGAGGCGUGAUGACGAGGCACUACGGUGCUGAAGCAACAAAUGCCCUGCUUCCAGGAAAAGCCUCUAAGCAUCAGGUAACAUCAAAUCGUACCCCAAACCGACACAGGUGGUCAGGUAGAGAAUACCAAGGCGCUUGAGAGAACUCGGGUGAAGGAACUAGGCAAAAUGGUGCCGUAACUUCGGGAGAAGGCACGCUGACAC
rnacentral:rRNA from 1 species